rnacentral:rRNA from 1 species
UACGGAAGGGGCGAGCGUUGUUCGGAAUCAUUGGGCGUAAAGGGCGCGUAGGUGGUUCUGUAUGUCUACCGUGAAAGCAUACGGCUCAACUGUAUUUUGUCGGUAGAAACUGCAGGACUUGAGGCUGGGAGGGGCUGGUGGAAUUCCCUGUGUAGCGGUGAAAUGCGUAGAGAUGGGGGAGAACACUCGUGGCGAAGGCGGCCAGCUAGACCAGUUCUGACACUGAGGCGCGACAGCGUGGGGAGCAAACAGG